CAUUGCUGUGGAUAAUAUUUUCUCCUGGGGGAUUUUUCUACACAUUGUAGGUGCUUUAUUAGUAAUUCUUACCUCUGUUCAGUGUGUGCCAGUAACUCCCACCUUAACCCCACCCCAAGGACAGUGUGAAUGGUCUCCAUACAAUGUGUCAAAUGUCCCCUUGGAGGAAAAGUCAACCUUAGGUUGAAAACCACUGAAUUUGAAGCUGUUAUCAUCUUUGGAACCUGAGGGAUCUGUCCUUGGUUUUGUAAGUCGGCCGUGUGACAUUCAUGGCCAGGACACUAACAUCUGGAAAGUGCAGCCUCUGAGAGAUCAUGGACAUCUCCCGGCAAGAGUUGAUGUUGGAGAUUUGCCAGGGUUCUGAACACAUCGGAUGGUCUAGUUGCUGCUGAGGCCAUCCAGUCCACAUGUUGCCUGAGGACCAACCCCAUGAGGCCACGCAGGAAACAUACUCAACAUACCCAAAUCCCUUGCUGAAAAUCACUGGCACCAGGAUGUUUAUGUUCAUCGCUGGGUUCGACAGCAGUGGACCGGGAAGAAUACCUCAAGCAGCAUUCGUGACAGCAUU